rnacentral:rRNA from 1 species
GAUGAACGCUGGCGGCGUGCCUAAUACAUGCAAGUCGAGCGAACAGACGAGGAGCUUGCUCCUCUGACGUUAGCGGCGGACGGGUGAGUAACACGUGGAUAACCUACCUAUAAGACUGGGAUAACUUCGGGAAACCGGAGCUAAUACCGGAUAAUAUAUUGAACCGCAUGGUUCAAUAGUGAAAGACGGUUUUGCUGUCACUUAUAGAUGGAUCCGCGCCGCAUUAGAUAGUUGGUAAGGUAACGGCUUACCAAGGCGACGAUGCGUAGCCGACCUGAGAGGGUGAUCGGCCACACUGGAACUGAGACACGGGCCAGACUCCUACGGGAGGCAGCAGUAGGGAAUCUUGCGCAAUGGGCGAAAGCCUGACGGAGCAACGCCGCGUGAGUGAUGAAGGUCUUCGGAUCGUAAAACUCUGUUAUUAGGGAAGAACAAAUGUGUAAGUAACUAUGCACGUCUUGACGGUACCUAAUCAGAAAGCCACGGCUAACUACGUG